UCAAAGAUCCCGCCGCUUGCUUUGAGUCCAGGAGGCAAAAUUGUGCCCAUUUUAAAGAUGUGAUGAUUAAGGUCUCGAGAGGGCCAGGGGUCGCCCAAGGUUGCUCUGUGGUGACAGCUUUACCUCUUUGCUAUUUAUCAUCAGGUAUUGCAAACGGACGAGAGAAAAAUGGAGAAUGAAUCCUGGAGAAAACAAGGUCAUUCCUGCCAAUGUGGACACAUUGCAUCCCUGAGUCUCUCGUGUCCUGAGAACUGGAGGCAGUGAUAUUUUAGAGGCUGCAGUGAAAGCCACACAGCCAUGGAAGGCCGAGACUCCACCAUGUUUGUGACCUUCACAUUCAGAAAACUCACUCGCACUCUGCCUCAUCUUAUCUCUAGGAUGUAUUUUACCACACUGUGUCUCUUCUUUAGUGGGAAUGUCUUUGGCCAAAAAUAGUGAAAAGUUCAAACCUGACUUGCUAAUGCCCACUGAUGAGAGGAGAUGGAAUUUGUUGGAAACAAAAGAAAACUAAGCUUACAAA